CUUAUCGCUUAGAGGAAGGAGAAGUCGUAACAAGGUUUCUGUAGGUGAACCUGCAGAAGGAUCAUUU
rnacentral:rRNA from 1 species